AUAAUAAAUAAAAAAAAAGCUCAACUUUAAGUAUUUAGCAGUAUGUAGCCAACAGUUUCCAGGUGAAUGCUUGGUGUAAAUAACUCACAGAACCCUGUUUUAUUAGCUUUUUACACCAGUAAGUAACAAAGUCCAGUUUCGGCAGAACUGAGAAGCUACAAAUCUGUUUUUAUAUUUGGCAGCUGCUCUCUUAACCUUUGGUCACCUGGCUUGGGAGGCGGUGGUGCUGUUUCUCUCUGGUUAGACAGGUGUAGCUGUGUGAGGUUUACUUGGAUUCUUUUCUAUAUUUUGUCUCUUUCAAAAUAAAAUGUUAAUUUAUCUAAUAGCAUAACCGGAGGGAUCAAAACAGAAUGCGAAAGCCCAGUCUUAAGUUUUCACAUUAUAUGUUAUAAAACUGAUUAUGUUUGCAUUUUUCCAGCAGAGCCUUUUUGUCACUCAUUUACAGUUGUUCCUUUCUUUGAGUUAAUUAAUCUUGAGAGCACAUUAACAUGGUUGGGGGAUUGUGACAAAAUCGAAAGAUAUUUUAAUAAAGGAACAAGUUAAGGUUUGUUGGGGCUUGGGAGUGUGGGUUUUCUUUUUCCCUGUUUUUACCACCUGAGGUCGCCGAGGAGUUAAGGAGUGGAUCCGGUGUUUCAGAUGUGCUGCUGACUGUGUCUGCCACAUGAGGAGUAUUUAGGGAGCCAGGAGUGUGUGCUUAAAGUUACCUGAUAUAUAUAUAUAUAUAUAUAUAUAUAUAUAUAUAUAUAUAUAUAUAUAUAUAUAUAUAUAUAUAUAUGACAGAUUAAAGACAGCCCCCUGGACCGGAAAACUUUAGGAAACCCUCAAGAGCUAUAAUUCAACCUUUUGGUUCCUCAAGAAUCUGCCUGGCAGCUUGGCUCCUAAAUACGGUAAACUCUGUGGCUUCAGUAGGAUUGUCAACCUGAUACAAAGAAACACAUCAGCUCUGUUAUUGGACCUCUCCUGGACUCCUGCUCAGCUUACCAAGCUGUGAGCCUGUCAGUGAGACCAGACCAAUGCUCUCUGUGAACCUCAGAAGCGAGACCAGAUAAAUAAACCUGUUAAACAGUUUUCCUGUCUCCUGAGUGUGGAAAAUCAACCGGAAUCAACCGGAAAGGGAAUGUACCAACGCCGAGGCUG